rnacentral:lncRNA from 1 species
CUCCAUUGGUGACCACGUUUUGAAACUGACUGUAGAAAAACGUGAGAGACGCUCCAAAACUAUUUUGUUUGUUUUGUUUUUUCUUUCACUGAAGCACUGACUUUUCUUACUCUAAAACACUGAAAUAUCCCUUUGGAGAUCAGUAAACUACUUGAACAGUAAAGUAUCUAUCUAUCUAUCUAUCUAUCUAUCUAUCUAUCUAUCCAAACACAGUUCAACAAGCGCAAUGUCUUCAGAAAAGGACCGCCUUGAUGCCCUGCUUGAGGAGAGCACAUCUUUUCUGGAGGAAUUUAACCCACCACAGGUAAUGUGCCUUACAUAGAGACUGUCUUCAACAGACACUACUGUGAAGUACUCCAUCAGAUUUAGAUCUGUGCUUCUUUAUCAUGUGAUAUGGUUGAUUUCCAGCCUAAGAAAAAAAGGGAAAAAAAGCACCACCAAGAACCAAAAGUUAGCUGGAGCAGAGAAUCAGCCAAUUUGCAGACCGGAACCUUAAGGGGUUCAACAAGCGCAAUGUCUUCAGAAAAGGGGUACCUUCAUGAUGUCCUUGAGGAGAGCACAGCUUUUCUGGAGGAAUUUAACCCACCACAGCCCAAGAAAAAAAGGGAAAAAAAGCACCACCAAGAACUAAAAUUUACCUGGAGACAGAGAGACAUUAGGGGUAGAAUCAUACCCCAGACCACCAGGCCAUCUACCAGUAAAGGUACAAUAAUCUUGUUGUGACAUAAUGAAAACCUAUUAGGCUACAAAUUUACAUUGACUCCACAUUCAAAUGACACUAUUAUCUUAAUGCUAUACAGUAUAACAUGUCUCAAACUGCAGUUGGUUUUAUUCAGAUUCAGGGAUUAAGGAAACUCGGGAGAGAGAGGCUGUGGAUCCAUCAUGUAUGCCGGAAAUAGAUCUUGCUCUGAGAGGGGCUUUGGUAGAAGCUGGUGGAGGACAGACAGCAGCGAGAGACAGACAGAGAGAGGGAGGGGAAGGAAAGAUCGUCAUGUCCCUGUGGGGUGCUUUGGGAGAUGUUGUGUCCAGCGUGACUGAGGGAGUGACAGACAUCGUGAAUGCAGCGAUCGGAGCAGAAGAAAGUGCAGAGGAGGGAGAAAAAAAUACUUUUGCAGCCAUCGCCACAGUCAUGGCAGGAACAACUGAAGUGGGCAAGGCGAUGGUAAACGUGUCAGUGGGGCUCACUAAAGGGUUGGUAAACAGCGUACCGAGAGCCAUUAGUGAAGCGACUUCUGCCGCUAACACCGGAGACGCAGUUGGAGCCGUGGCAAAUAUUUUGACAAGGUCAAUGGCAGAUGAACUCGUCUCAGGUGUGAACGAGGUAUCAAAGAGCUCACAGAUGGUUGUAAAGGGAGUUCGACAUGGCAUUGGAUCCAUAACUCAAAAAUAAGAGAGCACUAUGGAAUGUAAUAAACAUGAAAGCGGUCACA